UACGUAGGCAGCGAGCGUUGUUCGGAGUUACUGGGCGUAAAGGGUGUGUAGGCGGUUUUGCAAGCCGGAUGUGAAAUCCCCGGGCUUAACCUGGGAAUGGCAUUUGGGACUGCAAGGCUGGAGUGCGGCAGAGGAGACUGGAAUUCCUGGUGUAGCAGUGAAAUGCGUAGAUAUCAGGAGGAACACCGAUGGCGAAGGCAGGUCUCUGGGCUGACACUGACGCUCAUGCACGAAAGCGUGGGGAGCAAACAGG
rnacentral:rRNA from 1 species